AUGGAUUAAACCUAUUAAUCUCUCCUCCGCACGCUCCAUCUCCACCGGUUGCUCUUCUCCUUAACUCACAAUCCAUGCUGUUUCACCAUUUGAUGCGAAUUGAAGUCUUCCAUCAGAUCUGCUGAUUCUGGCGAUGUUCUUGUCGUUCAUUACAGCGGACACGGGACGAGGUUGCCCACUGAGACUGGUGAAGACGAUGAUACUGGCUACGAGGAGUGUAUUUUUCCUUGCACGUGAAUUUAGAGGAGAAUCGAGAAGCAACCCAACACUAAUCGAUGGUCAAUGAUUCAAUCUCUCUUUCGAUGCUCCAAUCUCUUUCUAUUGAUGGUUUCCGACAGUGAAUCCCCAGAAAAAUUCUUAUUUUGAUGAUUUUGUACUUGUGGACAAAAUUUGCCUCAAGGAUUACAAGUUUGUGUGUGGUGAUGUUGUAGUUUUCAAGUAUGUUCCUUAUACCAAACCACGUUUGAGUCAUCCUUUGACAAGAACUAUAUAAUGAGUUUUAGUUGAUUACAUGUAAUAUGAUGGAUAUGAUGAUGUGGUAUGGCCUCCCAAAGAGUUAGCAAGAUUGGUCGAUAAAUCUAAUUGAGAAGAAGAAGGAGAAUGACAUGGUAUGUUUCUUCCUUUUCCAAAAGAAAACUCCCUUCUUCAUGUUACAUCUAUAUUUUAAUCUCAAAUCAGAAUUAGUCAUCACGUCUCAAUGAUAACAAACCGUGAACACAUUCUUGUAUUGGAACAAUGGUUUUAGCUCAUAUAGUAAUUUUUAGCCUCAUUGUGGCUCCGGUUUGCUUGCUGGCUCCGAUUUUAUGUUUAUUUCAGGUGUGGCAAACGGCUUCUCUUUACCAUUUGGUUUACACUGCAGCUCUUCUUUCUGCACCUAGCACCAAAUAUCCCAACCUUGAUUUAGAACAGUUGAAGCUAAACCAGACAUAUGAGAGAACCAUAUACUAGAUUAGUUACUUCUGUUUUUGCAAGUCCGCUUAAUUGUCUUGCUUAUUGGAGAGUAGAAAAUUAUACUUUUGUGUAAAUGGAAGAGAGCUGUUGAUUUGGAUUACUAUUUGAUUACUAUGUAUGGUGAGCUGUUGCAGCAGCAAAUUCAUAACAUUUCUACAAAGAGAACUACAGCAGGUGGAGAUUGAACUUCGAGCCCAAUGAUUACAAUGGAAUCAAGAGAAGGACAGAGAGCUUCAUGCGAUUAAACUACAAAGAGGGCAUUGUUGGAUUCGACGUUGGGUUAGCAGCAAUGGGAAAUCGAGCAGGAGGAACCUAUGAGCUGUAAGUGUAUCGAGGCAUGUAAGAAGGUGAGGAUGGAGAUUUGAAUGUAUCUUUUUUAUAUAAAAAAACUAUUUUCUGUAUUUAUUUGAGUAUUUGACUAUGAUAUGUUAUGUUCUAUAAAAUAUUGAGAAUCGAUUGUUGCAGUAAACAAUCUGAUUUAUAGUUUUUACUUUUCUUUUUGUUCCUUUUACUGUUUUUGGGAUAGUGCGGCUUUGUAGGGUGAAUCUGGAAGCUACUAUUUUUGGGAUAGUGCCGCUUACUUUAAGCUACAGAUAUUGAGAACCAGUGGUGAGUGAGCAAGAACCCAAAAGAGAGAGCUGAAGAGAUUAGAGAGAAGAGGAGCGUUUUGUCUAAGACAGAGUAGUUGAUGUUUUUGUAUAUAAGAUUUGGUUUGGAUUAGUUUUUUUUGUAAAACAUAUGUUUUAAAUCUGUUAAACCACGUGCAUUGGUUUGGAUUUGGUUACAAUGCACGUGGCUCUUAAUGUCCAUAUUAUUCCUUGAACGAAACAGUUUGUGUGUGUGUACACACUAUUUAAUUCUUGACGAAACAGUUUAAGAUA